rnacentral:rRNA from 1 species
GACGAAGGAUGCAAGCGUUAUCCGGAUUCAUUGGGUUUAAAGGGAGCGUAGGUGGUCUUCUAAGUCAGUGGUGAAAUCUCUCGGCUUAACUGAGAAAUUGCCAUUGAUACUGGGAGACUUGAGUGUAGUUGCCGUUGGCGGAAUAUGACAUGUAGUGGUGAAAUACAUAGAGAUGUCAUAGAACACCGAUUGCGAAGGCAGCUAACGAAACUAUAACUGACACUGAGGCUCGAAAGUGCGGGGAUCGAACAGG